GAGUAUACAACAAAAAAAAGGAACCGAUGAAAUCUAAUUGCUGGCCAACACCAUUGUAAACACAUCUUGAAAAGGGGUAGGUUAAAUUUUUUAUGCCAAUUGUUUCAUUUUCAUCUAACUCUCUAUGCUUGUCAUGCUUAGAGAAGUUACUCGAUCUAAUCAAACAAAUUGUUGUUUUGGGUUCUGUGCAGUAACUUUUUGGACUUUUAAUAGUGGUCUUUUUAAGAAAAUUCAGUAAAUUGUCAAACUAAUAUAUCUACUGUUUCUUACUGGAUUUUUGACCUAAUUUUGACACCUUUGGCUUUGUUUGUUG
rnacentral:lncRNA from 1 species